rnacentral:rRNA from 1 species
CGAAUGCCGGUAAGUGAGAGCGCGGCAGUGAGACUGUGGGGGAUAAGCUCCAUGGUCGAGAGGGAAACAGCCCAGAGCAUCGACUAAGGCCCCUAAGCGUACGCUAAGUGGGAAAGGAUGUGGAGUCGCAGAGACAACCAGGAGGUUGGCUUAGAAGCAGCCACCCUUGAAAGAGUGCGUAAUAGCUCACUGGUCAAGUGAUUCCGCGCCGACAAUGUAGCGGGGCUCAAGCGUACCGCCGAAGUCGUGUCAAUCCAACAUUAAAGGCCAACGCCUGUUGGGUUGGGUAGGGGAGCGUCGUGUGCCGGGUGAAGCCGCGCCGGAAGGCAGUGGUGGACGGUUCACGAGUGAGAAUGCAGGCAUGAGUAGCGAUACACACGUGAGAAACGUGUGCGCCGAUUGACUAAGGGUUCCUGGGUCAAGCUGAUCUGCCCAGGGUAAGUCGGGACCUAAGGCGAGGCCGACAGGCGUAGUCGAUGGACAACCGGUUGAUAUUCCGGUACCCGCUUUGAAACGCCCAGUACUGAAUCAGGCGA